GAGAGCGCAGUACAAUAGAGAGUUAUAUGCUGCGUUCGGGAAGGAUGAAUCGCUCCUGAAAAGAAUCUAUUGAUUCUCUCCCAAUUUGUUGGACCGUAGGUGCGAUGAUUUACUUCAC
rnacentral:ncRNA from 1 species